AUGUCAUUUUUGCCCCAGUCAGAUUUUUACCCCAAGUCAGAUGCCGACUCUGACGGCUUAUCGCUGCUGUACUGGACCAUCAUGGGCCCACAUGGGUCCAAUCGUGCGGUACAGAGGCUGGACUUCUCCGACUGCAGACGGGGACUGGGGGUGAAGAUCAUUGGUGGCUACAGACAGGAGAGUAGAGAGGAGUUUGGCAUCUUCAUCAAGCGAGUGCUGCCUGGAGGAGUGGCUGCUCAGGACGGGCGGUUGCGGUCGGGAGACCUGCUUUUGGAUGUCAACAACAACAACUUGGCCGGAGUCACGAAUGAGAGGGCUGUAGAUGUUCUGCGUACGGCUUCAGCCUCCAACCGCAUGUCCCUGCUGGUUGCCCGGGACAACGAGUCCAGGUAUGGAUUAUGGGAAAGGGGUCUGGGUGACACGUAAUGUCACGUAAUGUCACAUAAUGUCACGUAAUGAAUAUUAAAUAGCCUCCAACCAUAUGUCUCUGCUGACCGCUCAUGGCACCCAGGUACAGCUAGGGUCUGGGGUCUGUGUUUGGGGAUUAACACAUAGAGUAUGUGAGAUAAAUACACCAGGACUACAGUUAGGGUCUGGGGUCUUUGUUUGGGGAUUAACACAUUGAGUAUGUGAGAUAAAUGCACCAGGACUCGACAUGACGUAAGGCAGUCCAGGUACAGUUAGGGUCUGGGGGAGCUGAGUUUGAAGUGUGUCAGAGAAAUACAUAUGGAAACUAUAUGGAGGAGAACAGUAAUUUAAGUGUUUGAAUGUAUAGGUCCUUCCCUCACAAAAUAUUCUCCAGCUAGUAACAGCAUGUUUCAUGUACCAUGGAGCAGAAAACUCCAGCUAGGAACAGGAUGUUUCCCGUACCAUAGAGCAGAAAAUUCCAGCUAGUAACAGGAUGUUGCCCGUACCAUAGAGCAGAAAACUCCAGCUAGUAACAGGAGGUUGCCCGUACCAUAGAACAGAAAACUCCAGCUAGGAACAGGAUGUUGCCCGUACCAUAGAGCAGAAAACUCCAGCUAGAAACAGGAUGUUGCCCGUACCAUAGAGCAGAAAACUCCAGCUAGGAACAGGAUGUUGCCUGUCCUCUCCUGGUCAUAUUCAUGGCAGGGUUUUCCUAAGCUUGUUACUGGCUGAGCCGCUGCUGAAGUGAAGUGUGCAUUGAUUGUUUGAUCAAUCUAAGAAUAGCUCUAAUGCACUAAGACCAUUAGCGUCUGCAGGGUUCCUCAAAGAGGAAGAGGAAGAGAGUUGGAGCGGCGCAUCACAGGUCUGGGACCAGCACCUGUGGGGUGGAUCAGACCGGGCCAUGGAGGGUAAACUAGGCUAGGCGACCCAUUUCUAUUCUGGGAUGUGAUCUGGGCAUGACCAGAUUAUGUCCGGGUGUAGUCUGCUUUGGGGGUAUAUAUUGCUUGCCAGAAUGAUUCGGAUCAGUGCAGUUUGGUCAGUUGGGGUGGCUGCUUUGCACUUGCAGCUUGACAGAACCAGAUUCUGACAUUUAAAGUGAAAUAAAGUUUGACAAAAGCUCA
rnacentral:lncRNA from 1 species